rnacentral:rRNA from 1 species
UACGGAGGGUACAAGCGUUGCUCGGAAUUAUUGGGCGUAAAGGGUAGGUAGGUGGUCUCAUUUGUCUGGGGUGAAAGCCUUGAGCUUAACUCAAGAAGUGCCCCAGAAACGGUGAGACUAGAGUCCUGGAGAGGGUCGUGGAAUUCCAGGUGUAGCGGUGAAAUGCGUAGAUAUCUGGAGGAACACCGGUGGCGAAGGCGGCAUCCUGGACCGGCAUUGACGCUGAGGCGCGAAAGCCAGGGGAGCAAACGGG